CUGAGGCUGAGAACCCCUAAGUUAAGGGAAGCAGGAGAGAGAACACAUGUAUCCCCCAAUCCCAGAACCACUGGACUCAAACAUCAUCACAAAGCAUUCAGCACUCUUGCUGCCCCAAACAAGCUCCAAUCUGAACUACAACAGGUCCUGCCUCAGGCCUUCCCACUGGCUGUGGUCUCUACUUAGAGCACUGAGCCCCACACAGCUGGCUGGAUGGUCUCUUUGGCUCCUUCAGUGACGGCUCAAGUAACACCUUCUCGAAAUCUUCCCUGGACAACUUACUGAAAACGAAUCAGCAACCCUUCCCAACCUCACCCUGCUUUAUUUCUUCCACAGAACCUAUUACAUGUUAUCCCCUGUCUGUUUUUCGCUGCUGGGAUGCAAGCUCCAUAAA